rnacentral:rRNA from 1 species
UCGAACGGUAGCACAGAGAGCUUGCUCUCGGGUGACGAGUGGCGGACGGGUGAGUAAUGUCUGGGAAACUGCCUGAUGGAGGGGGAUAACUACUGGAAACGGUAGCUAAUACCGCAUAACGUCGCAAGACCAAAGAGGGGGACCUUCGGGCCUCUUGCCAUCAGAUGUGCCCAGAUGGGAUUAGCUAGUAGGUGGGGUAACGGCUCACCUAGGCGACGAUCCCUAGCUGGUCUGAGAGGAUGACCAGCCACACUGGAACUGAGACACGGUCCAGACUCCUACGGGAGGCAGCAGUGGGGAAUAUUGCACAAUGGGCGCAAGCCUGAUGCAGCCAUGCCGCGUGUAUGAAGAAGGCCUUCGGGUUGUAAAGUACUUUCAGCGGGGAGGAAGGCGAUAAGGUUAAUAACCUCGUCGAUUGACGUUACCCGCAGAAGAAGCACCGGCUAACUCCGUGCCAGCAGCCGCGGUAAUACGGAGGGUGCAAGCGUUAAUCGGAAUUACUGGGCGUAAAGCGCACGCAGGCGGGUCUGUCAAGUCGGAUGUGAAAUCCCCGGGCUCAUCCUGGGAACUGCAUUCGAAACUGGCAGGCUAGAGUCUUGUAGAGGGGGGUAGAAUUCCAGGUGUAGCGGUGAAAUGCGUAGAGAUCUGGAGGAAUACCGGUGGCGAAGGCGGCCCCCUGGACAAAGACUGACGCUCAGGUGCGAAAGCGUGGGGAGCAAACAGGAUUAGAUACCCUGGUAGUCCACGCCGUAAACGAUGUCGACUUGGAGGUUGUGCCCUUGAGGCGUGGCUUCCGGAGCUAACGCGUUAAGUCGACCGCCUGGGGAGUACGGCCGCAAGGUUAAAACUCAAAUGAAUUGACGGGGGCCCGCACAAGCGGUGGAGCAUGUGGUUUAAUUCGAUGCAACGCGAAGAACCUUACCUACUCUUGACAUCCAGAGAACUUAGCAGAGAUGCUUUGGUGCCUUCGGGAACUCUGAGACAGGUGCUGCAUGGCUGUCGUCAGCUCGUGUUGUGAAAUGUUGGGUUAAGUCCCGCAACGAGCGCAACCCUUAUCCUUUGUUGCCAGCGGUUAGGCCGGGAACUCAAAGGAGACUGCCAGUGAUAAACUGGAGGAAGGUGGGGAUGACGUCAAAGUCAUCA